ACGCUCGACACCUACGGGGGCAGCAGUGGGGAAUAUUGCACAAUGGAGGAAACUCUGAUGCAGCGAUGCCGCGUGAGGGAAGAAGGUUUUCGGAUUGUAAACCUCUGUCUUUGGGGACGAUAAUGACGGUACCCAAGGAGGAAGCUCCGGCUAACUACGUGCCAGCAGACGCGGUAAUCUGAGCGGGCUGGCAAGGC
rnacentral:rRNA from 1 species